UACAGAGGUCUCAAGCGUUGUUCGGAUUCAUUGGGCGUAAAGGGUGCGUAGGCGGCGCGGUAAGUCGGGUGUGAAAUCUUGGAGCUUAACUCCGAAACUGCAUUCGAUACUGCCGUGCUUGAGGACUGGAGAGGAGACUGGAAUUUACGGUGUAGCGGUGAAAUGCGUAGAUAUCGUAAGGAAGACCAGUGGCGAAGGCGGGUCUCUGGAUAGUUCCUGACGCUGAGGCACGAAGGUCAGGGGAGCAAACGGG
rnacentral:rRNA from 1 species